rnacentral:tRNA from 1 species
UCUAAAAUGGCAGAAUAAAUGCAUAGGAUUUAAGCUCCUAUUAUGAAGUAAUUUUUAACUUCUUUUAGAA